rnacentral:RNase_P_RNA from 1 species
CGAGUCGGCCAGGCGGUCGCGUCGGCGUCCCUGAAGGGGGCGUCGCCGAGGAACGUCCGGACUCCGCAGAGCAGGGUGGUUGUUAACGGCAACCCGGGGCGACCCGCGGGACAGUGCCACAGAGAACAGACCGCCGGCCCCGCAAGGGCGCCGGUAAGGGUGAAACGGUGAGGUAAGAGCUCACCAGCACCCCGGGUGACCGGGGUGGCUAGGUAAACCCCACCCGGAGCAAGGCCAAGUAAGGCCGCUCACCGCGAGGCGAGCGGCCGGCGCAGGCGUUCGAGGGCUGCUCGCCCGAGCCUGCGGGUAGGCCGCAAGAGCCGAGCCGGCAACGGCCGGCCGAGAUGGAUGACCGCCCACGGCGACGAAAGUCGCCGGGACAGAAUCCGGCGUACAGGCCGACUCGUCCG